rnacentral:rRNA from 1 species
UACGUAGGGAGCGAGCGUUGUCCGGAUUUACUGGGUGUAAAGGGUGCGUAGGCGGGUAAGCAAGUCAGAAGUGAAAUCCAUGGGCUUAACCCAUGAACUGCUUUUGAAACUGUUUAUCUUGAGUGAAGUAGAGGUAGGCGGAAUUCCCGGUGUAGCGGUGAAAUGCGUAGAGAUCGGGAGGAACACCAGUGGCGAAGGCGGCCUACUGGGCUUUAACUGACGCUGAAGCACGAAAGCGUGGGUAGCAAACA